UUCGGACGUCCUCCAUUACUGCUCAGUCAGCAGACUGGCGGUGGGCUCCUGGGUGGUCCUGCAACCUCAAAAGGUAUUGCUGUUCCUCAGCGUAUCAGUUCAUCAGUUUCCUCGUCCCAGACCACGCCCCCUCACUCUGAGGGCGUGUCCAGUAUCAUAGCAUCAUCCUCAUCUCCUGUCGGAGGGAAGGCGGGGACUAAUGUUGAGACCACACCCCCUACCAUACCAUCAGUCAGUAGUAUUGAUACUUCAACUCCUAGCUCUACCAUCUCUCCAUUACAGUAUUCAGUAUCAGCAGUGGAUUCCUCCAGCAGUCGUCCGUCAGUUAAUGAUACUAGUGCUCCAGUACCACCCCAUGAGGUCACUAGCACUACCAACGACUCAUCACGUGAUAAUGAGGAGACUGAGGAACCAGCUGCUGGGAAUAAGAACCCAACCAGUCAACAGACUGGAGGAGGAGGAGGAGGAGGGCAGAGGAAGAAACAAUCAGGAAA